CAGUCGCCGCGGGAAUACGUAGGGUGCAAGCGUUAUCCGGAAUUAUUGGGCGUAAAGAGCUCGUAGGCGGUUUGUCGCGUCUGCUGUGAAAACUGGAGGCUCAACCUCCAGCCUGCAGUGGGUACGGGCAAACUAGAGUGCGGUAGGGGAGAUUGGAAUUCCUGGUGUAGCGGUGGAAUGCGCAGAUAUCAGGAGGAACACCGAUGGCGAAGGCAGAUCUCUGGGCCGUAACUGACGCUGAGGCUCGAAAGCAUGGGGAGCGAACAGGAUUAGAUACCCGCGUAGUCCCUGUCUCUUAUAC
rnacentral:rRNA from 1 species